GUGAACGCUGGCGGUAGGCCUAACACAUGCAAGUCGAACGGCAGCACCGUAAGCGCUUGCUCUUACGGGUGGCGAGUGGCGGACGGGUGAGGAAUACAUCGGAAUCUACUUUUUCGUGGGGGAUAACGUAGGGAAACUUACGCUAAUACCGCAUACGACCUACGGGUGAAAGCAGGGGAUCUUCGGACCUUGCGCGAUUGAAUGAGCCGAUGUCGGAUUAGCUAGUUGGCGGGGUAAAGGCCCACCAAGGCGACGAUCCGUAGCUGGUCUGAGAGGAUGAUCAGCCACACUGGAACUGAGACACGGUCCAGACUCCUACGGGAGGCAGCAGUGGGGAAUAUUGGACAAUGGGCGCAAGCCUGAUCCAGUCAUACCGCGUGGGUGUAGAAGGCCUUCGGGUUGUAAAGCCCUUUUGUUGGGAAAGAAAAGCAGCAGGUUAAUACCCCGCUGUUCUGACGGUACCCAAAGAAUAAGCACCGGCUAACUUCGUG
rnacentral:rRNA from 1 species